CCUCCUUUAGAGUUUUGGAACCUGGCUCAGAUUGAACGCUGGCGGCAGGCCUAACACAUGCAAGUCGAGCGGAAACGAGUUAUCUGAACCUUCGGGGAACGAUAACGGCGUCGAGCGGCGGACGGGUGAGUAAUGCCUAGGAAAUUGCCUUGAUGUGGGGGAUAACCAUUGGAAACGAUGGCUAAUACCGCAUAAUGCCUACGGGCCAAAGAGGGGGACCUUCGGGCCUCUCGCGUCAAGAUAUGCCUAGGUGGGAUUAGCUAGUUGGUGAGGUAAUGGCUCACCAAGGCGACGAUCCCUAGCUGGUCUGAGAGGAUGAUCAGCCACACUGGAACUGAGACACGGUCCAGACUCCUACGGGAGGCAGCAGUGGGGAAUAUUGCACAAUGGGCGCAAGCCUGAUGCAGCCAUGCCGCGUGUAUGAAGAAGGCCUUCGGGUUGUAAAGUACUUUCAGCAGUGAGGAAGGGGGUGUCGUUAAUAAGCGGCAUCUCUGACGUAG
rnacentral:rRNA from 1 species